GUCCUUUAGAGUAGUAUUUAAGGUUUAAUCUGCCCACUGAAAGGUUUAAAUGGCCGCAGUAAAUUGACUGUGCAAAGGUAGCAUAAUCAUUAGUUUUUUAAUUGAAAGCUUGUAUGAAUGAUUGGACGAGAUAUAAGCUGUCUUUAUUUUAUUAUUAGAAUUUAAUUUUUAAGUUAAAAAGCUUAAAUUGAUUUAAAAGACGAGAAGACCCUAUAGAUCUUUAUAUAUAAUUUAUUUUAAAUUUUUAUGAUUAUUAGUUUUUAAAUUAUUUUAUUUAUUUUAUUGGGGUAAUUUAAAGAUUUGAUUAAUUCUUUAUUUUAUUAUAUUAAUUCAUAGAUUGAUGAUCCAUUUUUUAUGAUUGAAAGAUUAAGUUACCUUAGGGAUAACAGCGUAAUUUUUUUUUAGAGUUCUUAUCGAUAAAAAAGUUUGCGACCUCGAUGUUGGAUUAAAGUUUAUUUUAGGUGUAGAAGUUUAAAUUUUUAGUCUGUUCGACUAUUAAAACUUU
rnacentral:rRNA from 1 species